rnacentral:tRNA from 1 species
UCUCUGGAGGAUUAGUGGUUAGGCUUCGGUGCUCUCACCGCCACGGCCCGGGUUCAAUUCCCGGCUAAGGAA